AUGCUGCAGCAAUACAUGAACCAAUUCAGACCAUGCACCAUGUGUUCCCAAUGCCAUGUACUGAUUCAUGUACAUCAACAAACCUGCAACAACCAGACCUGUCACCUGCAUCAUGAAAGGGCCUGCACAACGGGUUUAAACAUGUUAAGCACAUCUACAAAAUCAGUACUAGUCAUCACCAUAUCAACUAAAAGGAGCAAAAGCAAAUUAUAUCAUAUCAGCAAAAACAAAACAAUGCAACAGCUCAAAUGCGGUCAAACACCAGUACAAAUUCAAUACAUUAUGUUCUAA